rnacentral:rRNA from 1 species
CAAUGCCCGAAAGGGUGACGAAGCGACGCCGCGUGCGGGAGGAAGGCCUUCGGGUUGUAAACCGCUGUCGGGAGUUAGGAAAUGCAAGGAUGUUAAUAGCGUCCUUGCUUGACUAAGGCUCCGGAGGAAGCCACGGCUAACUCUGUGCCAGCAGCCGCGGUAAUACAGAGGCGGCAAGCGUUGUUCGGAAUUAUUGGGCGUAAAGAGCACGUAGGCGGCUGUGUAAGUCGGUUGUGAAAGCCUUCCGCUCAACGGAAGAACGGCAUCCGAUACUGCAUGGCUUGAGUGUGGGAGGGGAGAGUGGAACUUCUGGUGGAGCGGUGAAAUGCGUAGAUAUCAGAAGGAACACCGGCGGCGAAGGCGACUCUCUGGUCCGUAACUGACGCUGAGUGUGCGAAAGCUAGGGGAGCAAACGGGAUUAGAUACCCCGGUAGUCCUAGCCGUAAACGAU